ensembl:lncRNA
GAGAAAUCUAGUCUUAACUCCACCCCGGACAGCUGCCUUCAAAAGGAGCCAAAAUCUCAGCCUGCCUAAGUAUGAAUGGAUGUCAAAGGGAAAGGUGGAGGACAACAGCCCGUGGCAAGGACAGCUUCAUGAGCUGGAGAAGGAUCGUUGUCCUGGGCGCUGAUCAGCCUGGAUUGUAAAUGAACGCGAUUUUCUGACAGCAGCGCAAAACGCUCCGGAUACUGAUGCGCUCACGUGACUUUGUCCAGACUCCUCUCCAUGGCGCUCUAUCCAUCGUGAUGGACACAAGGGCACAGCUUCCUGCUUCUCUCAUUCUUGGGCCUGGGAUGAUGAUGCAAUAAUCAUCAUCUGAAACAUUUCAAGCUGGAUGUUAGAGCAAAAGAGCAUAUGGCACGGAUGUAUUCAUUCUGAAAGCUUCAUUCUAUUGACAUUCAACCUGAGAAGGUGAGCCAGUCCCAGAACCUGGAAGGAAGCUCCCCCACCACCAUCCCAGGCUCCUAGGGCAGAGAAGGUGAGCUGGUCCAGGAAUCCGAAGGGCAGCUCCCCCACUGCCAUCCCAAGCUCCUAGGGCAGAGAAGCUGAGCCAUGUAGGCGCCAGAAGCACCCCCCCCCCCCCACACACACACCUCGUGGAAAUGAGAAGACAUGCAAACAAGUCUCAGAAACAGACUUCUG